rnacentral:rRNA from 1 species
UGCCAGCAGCCGCGGUAAUACGAGAGGGGCAAGUGUUAUUCGAAAUAACUGGGCGUAAAGGGUACGUAGGCGGUUUAUUAAGUUAGUUUUCAAAGCCCUAAGCUCAACUUAGGUAAGGUAACUAAUACUGUUAAACUAGAAUAAGAUAGAGGAUAGUGGAAUUUCUAAUGGAGGGUUAAGUUCUGUAGAUAUUAGAAGGAACAUCAGAGGCGAAGGCGACUAUCUGGAUCUUUAUUGACGCUGAGGUACGAAGGCGUAGGUAGCGAAUAGGAUUAGAUA